CAAAAUUAAAAAAAAGCUGAAAUAAUUACAUAUAAAUUAUAUGCGUAUAUAAAGUAUUACCUUAAAAAAUAAAAAAAAUAAGUGUUUUCAAAUACGUGAAACAAGUUCCUAUGUUUCAAAACACAAAACCAUCUGACAUGAACCCUAGUCUGUGAAGUGCAUUGUGAAAUUAAAACCCAUCCUGAAAUUGAAAUCGAAACUGAGAGUUCUGAAAGCCAAUCGAAACCCAUUUUCCAAAUUUCCCCUAUCUUUCCGAAAUCGAAGGCUCUAGAGAGAAAAUCGACGUUGGGGAGGAGGAUGACGAGGUUGGAGCAGAGAGUUUCGAGGAGGCUGAGUUUGGAGGAAUGGGAGAGGAUGGGAAGGCGCGAACCAAGGAGUAGACGCAGUCGUCCACGUCCUACUCCUUAAUGCACAGAAUAUCCCUGUCAGAGAGAUAAAACGACACACCUGAAAGAAAACGAAGGAAGCGACAUCGACAAAGUUUUGAAUGCAGAGCCUGUUAUUGUCUUCCUGCCCUUCGUGUUCUAGCUUUUCCAGCGUGCGAGGGAAGACGAAGUGAGGUACCAAUCCCCAAUCCCUAAACACUAUCGUGUGCCAAAUGCUCCAAUCCUUGAGAUUGUAGCAUUUCCGACGUCGCUGGUGUGCUUGGAAACCCUACUUGGUAAGUAAAUUUAUAAUUUCUCCAUGUUUCAAUUGGUAAAGUGUUCACAAACUCUAAUAUAAAGGUAAGGCAUUUGUGACUUGGAAUCCAAAAUUUUAAAGGUGGAAGUUGCAAUCGGGUAUGAAGUUUGUCAGGAAGCAGAGGCUUCGUCGUGAACUCAGAUGGUAUGGUGCUUGAGGAAAAGCUUGUAGCGUGGAUCUCAGAGUUGUGUUCAUUUCACUCUAGGUGAUUUUUUGUUGUGAUAAAUUUUAAUGUGAUUGUGAUGGUUUAUUAUUUGCUUUGAGUGUGUUGAUUUUGAUUGAGGCUUCAUUGUUCACCUUUCUCUAUAUUUAUUUUCUGGUUGGAGUUAUGAUUACUAGUUUGUAUCUAAGUAUACUAAUUAGUCCCUCGAUAGGUUGCCCUUUUAUCCCAUAAAGGGUUAAUGUGAUAUCAUGAACAUCUCGGAUUUUCAUGUGAAUCUUUAACGAAUAGUCAUCAUGUAGGCUUUGUGCCUGAUUAAGUCAACUGCAUGAAAAAAAUGUUAACUACAAAGAGAUUGAAGGGGAUUUUAUGACACUAAGUAUUGGUUGGAACAAGGAAUAUAUUUGGGAAGUUUUUGAUCCAUCUACUGUUAUCACAAUAUGGGUUUAUGGUCAUUAACAUGGGGAAGAGAAAUGAGGUGGAUCAAAGGAUUUAAGAAUAAGAAAGGUGAAAAUUAGGUUGUCCACCCUUGAACCCGAUAGGGUGUACUCACGUUGUUAUCAUGUUUUAGUACUACAAGUUCAGAUGUGAAGAAAAUAGGAGAGGUCUAAUUGGCUGUAAGGUUUAAAGAGAAAAUGCAACAUUUAAUAAAUGGUAAAAUCAAAAUACUUGAAUGGAAACACAAGAAGCAAGCCUAUUGAUAAAUGGACUAACUAUGAUUUCUUCUAUUUGUAGCUACUAAUGCAUGUAAAGUUCAUGCCCUGAGACAAAUUUUGAGCUAUACUAGAAUUAUAUUUAACGGACCAAACUUUUUACCCAAAUGAUUGCUUGUCUGCAUAAGAACAAGUUACCUAGGUUAAAUAAUCAUAAAUUGUUGUUAAAUUUUGAUUAUUAUAUGAAAAAUUAAUACUAAAGCUCUUCCAAAUCCAAAUGCAAACACAAGUUAGUUACUUUUUGAUGGCAGUGAUGCUUAUCUAAGCUGCCCACUACUCAAGUAAUGGCAAUGAGAAUUUUACCCUUAAAGAACUUAUUCUCCAUUAGGCUAUUUAGAUCAAACUUAUUGAUCAUCUGCUUUGUCUUAUACUAUUUUUUAAGGUAUGGUCUUAGUCCAACUAGAAGGGUUGUUCAUUUUUGUGCGGUUUUGUACAAGAGUUGGAUCACUCUUUAAGUGAUUUUUAUUUAUUUAUUUUAUGUUGUUGAUAAAAAAAAUACUAUUUUUUAAGGAUUAUAAUUUAAAAACUUUAAAAAAAAUAUUUUCUUUUUUAAACAAGAUUAAUAUAUCAUGUAAAUAGGUUUAGUAAACAUAUUUUUUAUGUUCAUCUCGUAUCAUUAUAGCUCAUUAGAUUUCAAUUUAAUACAUGAUUUGUAAAAGAUUGUGGCACACUCUCAAUGUAUUUCUUUGCCUUUAGAUAGCAACGUAACAUGGCAAUCAAUAAAUUCAACAAAAAUUAAAUAAUUUCCUUACUCCCCAAUCCUAAUCAAAUAAAUCAAAAUGUGGAAAGAUGUGUGGAGCAGCAAACUACAAAAUUUCUGUUAGAAAUGGUUUGUGAGAUUAUUUUAAAUUCUGAUUCUUCCAUUUAGGUUAUUUUGUCUACAACUUUUGAUUAACUAUAUUAUGAUUUUGGAUCACUUGGUGCAAUCUUUGGGUUUUUUUAUAUGAGGACUAUUGUUAUUUGUUGCAAAUUUGGUUACUAUAUAUACGAGAUUUGUUUUAAUAUAAAUGGAGACUUGAGUGCUUUAGUCUUUGUCUGGUAUUUUUCUAGAUUUUUUGAUAUUUAUAUGAUAGAAAUAUUUGUGAUGUCUUAUAUAAUGUUAUAGAUUAUUUUAUAAGUUAAGAAAUCUUAUAAUAAAACUGGUCAAUCUUUAAGUAUUGUUUCAUGUUUAAGGAUACUGAUUACUUCUUCAAAGACUAAGAUGGUUUCAUUGAAUGUGGAUACCAAUUUAGUCAAAUAUAGUGCUUUUGAGUAUAAUUCUUAAAUAUUGGAUUAGCUUUGAGAGUUUAAUAAUAAUAAUAAUUGAGUUUUAAAUUCAUACACAACAAGUCUUGUCUUUAAUUUUCUCAUUCUAUUACGUUUUUGUAUGCUAUUUUGCUUCCUCUUUUCCUUCUCUUUUUAUGCCUUCAUAUUUCUACCUUGCCAGAACAAUUAUGCUGUUGAAGGACACACCUAAUGCUUCUUAGGAUCCUUACAAUUUGACACCUACGACUCUUCACCUUGUGUUAUUCAUGCAUUAAAUUGAAAUUGGCCUUAAAAUUUAUUAGUAAAUCUUACAAUAUCAUGUUCAUCUCAAAUUGAAAUACUAAAAAAAAAUACAGUUACAUACGGAUUUAUCCGUCUAUAAUUCUACCACAAAGUUACAUACAAAAAUUACAUACCGAUUUAUCCAUAUGUAAUUACAUAUGAAUUUUGAAUUUGUAUGUAAUAAUUACAUAUGACAGUUUUACAUACGAUUUUUUUUUCAUAUGUAACUUUGUUUUACAUACGGAUUUGGUCUCUUACAUGUGGUGAUGUAUGUAAUACCAAAUUUUCUUGUAGUGUAAAUGUUUCUUCAUGUGAAUCCCAAACACGGUCCUUGGACGAUCUGCCCUUAGACGCUUAGUUUGGGUCCAUGGUAUAUUCUUGCUUUCUGGCUCUAAUGUCAACUGAAAGAUGAAAUUCUUUUUUUGCAGAGGCAUCUUUGGGACCUCAGAGUUUUCCAUCUUUGUGUAAAGCCCUGUGCCCAGUAUACCAUGUCUCUAAUCGCUCUUCAACGACUCAAAAGAAGGUUGACCUUGCCAUAUUUGGUCGUCGACAAGGGCUUCUGCUGCAGUGGCCUAUAAAUCACCUUUGUACCUAUAAGAUUAUUAUCCAAGGAUUUCAUUUGCUGAGAUCCUACUUAUAAUGCUUAAUCGUUUGAGUUCUUGAUCGCAUUUAUGCACUUGCAUGUCCCCCUGCAUUGCUUUUCUUAUGUAUUAACAAUGUUGCAAAUGUCCCUAUUGAUUUUAAUCGGUUGAUUGAUUUUGCUUCCCAUCCAAUUAGUACUCUUAUGCACAUUCUAGCAAACUCCAGUAAUUUAUUGUCUAUUAUUGCUUUAUAAACUUUUUAUACGAGUUUUGAUUGUAGAAAUUACCAUUAUAAAGUAGUGUAUAUUCCACGUAUGUAAAAGAACCCUUAUGCAGUUCACCCAAGUUAGUAUACUUCCCAUCCUCUCCCAUUUGGACCAUUGUAGAAUCGAUUUCCAAUAGUGUGGAGAAGCAUUGUUCAUUAUCUUGAAUCUCUGCUUGGAUGCUUGCACCUUCAUUUUCUGUCAU
rnacentral:lncRNA from 1 species